UACGGAAGGCAGCAGGGGGAAGUAUUGCACAAUGGGCGCAAGCCUGAUGCAGCCAUGCCGCGUGUAUGAAGAAGGCCUUCGGGUUGUAAAGUACUUUCAGUCGUGAGGAAGGUGUUAAGGUUAAUAACCUUAGCAAUUGACGUUAGCGACAGAAGAAGCACCGGCUAACUCCGUGCCAGCAGCCGCGGUAAUACGGAGGGUGCGAGCGUUAAUCGGAAUUACUGGGCGUAAAGGGCACGCAGGCGGUUAAUUAAGUUGGAUGUGAAAUCCCCGGGCUUAACCUGGGAAUGGCAUUCAAGACUGGUUAGCUAGAGUCUUGUAGAGGGGGUAGAAUUCCAUGUGUAGCGGUGAAAUGCGUAGAGAUGUGGAGGAAUACCGGUGGCGAAGGCGGCCCCUGGACAAAGACUGACGCUCAUGUGCGAAAGCGUGGGGAGCAAACAGGGAUUAGAUA
rnacentral:rRNA from 1 species